rnacentral:tRNA from 1 species
GCCUUGGUGGCUCAGUCAGUUAAGCAUCUGACUUCAGCUCAGGUCAUGAUCUCAUAGUUCGUGGGUUCGAGCCCCACUUCUGGCU